UACGGAGGGGGCUAGCGUUGUUCGGAAUUAUUGGGCGUAAAGAGCUCGUAGGCGGUUUGUCGCGUCGACUGUGAAAACCCGAGGCUUAACCUCGGGCCUGCAGUCGAUACGGGCAGACUAGAGUUCGGUAGGGGAGACUGGAAUUCCUGGUGUAGCGGUGAAAUGCGCAGAUAUCGGAAGGAACACCAGUGGCGAAAGCGGCUUCCUGGUCCAGCACCGACGUUCAGGCACGAAAGCGUGGGGAGCAAACAGG
rnacentral:rRNA from 1 species